GUCAGUGAUAAGUAAAAGGAACCAUAGUAGAAAAAUGUUUGGUUUUUUUCUUUCCAACAGAAUUUUUAAGAGCGUUUUCAUAUUAUAUCAAUACAUUAUAUGCUCACGUUCAAGUGGCAAAGCUCCACACAAAGAGAAUCAAGUGAAAGGGUUUGCAGAAACGUAGCUGGAACAAACAGCGCGGUCCAUAAACUGCGCAGCGUCGUGCGGCUCUGUCGCCUGAAGAGGGGGCGUACGUGAGGAAGCGGACCGUUCGGCUGCGGCUUGAAGAGGAGGAGGAGCGCGCAGUCGCAGACGCGCAGAACCUUCCAGAGAAGAGCAGCCGCGAGGAUCGGAGAAUAAGCGAACUGCCUGGUCGUGGAAGGAGAAACGUGUCCCGUCACAGCUGAGGUCAUCGACCCAAUACAAAAAGGAUUCACAUUGCAGUUCGGGGAGCCACUUUGUCUCGCCACUGUCUUGCUUCCUUUCACUGACAUAUUUUUUACACAUGGGAUGCAGUGGGGGAAUUUAAGAGAUUAUUUUUGUUUGGGGACUGAUUCUGGAUCCGUUUAGGGUUUUAUUUAAUAUUAAAUGUAACUCACGCACUCAGAGGAUUUUAUUUUCUCUUGGAUCCUACUGAAUUAACACCUGUCCUUCACCUUUGCUUUUGGAAUUAUCCCUGGAGGAACCAUUUUACCAGGAAAUUGCGUGGAUUAACAAAAAAUAAACAUACCAGAAAUCUUCACAGCCAGAUCCCAAAUAAGAUCUCCGGCCUUGCUUUCUUCACGGCAACGUACAGUGUUGGCUGUAGCACAGAGUAAAUGCUCAUGAUGUCAAAAGACAACAAUGACAUGAGUACAAUAAAAGGCCACACAAAGACAAGAACAACAGCAAAGUCAAGAUAUCAUAAAGAAACAAUGCUUUUUGCCAUCCAGAACAGCUGUUGGCUACCAGAAUACCGGAUCUCUCUCUACCAUCCGCUGUUUGACCUUCAUUCUGACCAUGGUAUCGACACUGUGCCUCCUCUUGGCAAGGAUCACUCAUUCUCUUUCCUAACUCCCAAGCUGUUGACUGGGGUUCUGCUGAACAUCAGAUAUGGUCACAGUCUCAUGACUUUUUGCUGCUUUUUGAAGACCCAUCUCUUCUCACAUCUCCUUGGGAAUAUUUAGCCUCUGCUCUCUUGUGUUGGCUCAUUGGGUUUUGCAGAACUUUUCCAGGCUUUUCCAGUGUGCCUAUGGUUAGAGCAGGUCGAUUUCUUUGUUCAUCGGUGUGAAGAGACUGGUCCCUGGAGACCAAAUUGUGUGUCCUGGUCGUAGUAAUAAAUAUCUCACCAUCUAUCUGGUUUUUGGUCUU
rnacentral:lncRNA from 1 species